UACGUAGGUGGCAAGCGUUAUCCGGAUUUAUUGGGCGUAAAGGGAACGCAGGCCGUCUUUUAAGUCUGAUGUGAAAGCCUUCGGCUUAACCGGGGUAGUGCAUUGGAAACUGGGAGACUUGAGUGCAGAAGAGGAGAGUGGAACUCCAUGUGUAGCGGUGAAAUGCGUAGAUAUAUGGAAGAACACCAGUGGCGAAAGCGGCUCUCUGGUCUGUAACUGACGCUGAGGUUCGAAAGCGUGGGUAGCAAACAGG
rnacentral:rRNA from 1 species